rnacentral:lncRNA from 1 species
UUCUCUCUACACACACAUUUUCAUACACCCACACAUAUUUGUUUUUCUCUCUCAAAUGCAUACACAAAAACACAAGAAAAAUCUUUCCUCAUUUUUCAUUUUCUCUCCCAAAAAUACACAUUCACGAAUACAUAUACACAUUUUUCAUCCCGACAUAUUUUUCUUUCUCUCAAACACACAUUUCUUCACUACACACACACAUUCUUCACUACACAUAUAUUUUUAUCAUACACAAAUUUUGUUUAUCUUUUUCUUUUUCUCAAAAACACACACAUAUAUGCUCAAAAUAAACACGUGGCCAAUGACAUUAUCUCUCCGUAGGAUACUUGAGGUCACCCCGUAACAAAAAUGGAUUUUUAUUUCUCAAAGUUUACUUAUUUACAUAAAAAAUAAAUGUUUGGCCAAUGAAAAUAUCUUUUCGUCGAAUUUUUGAGGCCACCCCAUUACAAAUCAUACGCAUUUUUGAAUGAUGCCUUGAACUUUCCAGUUGCUUAAGUCCAGCUGCAUUUUUGAAUAUGUAUAAACCUCCAUUCUCCUUACCAAUCCCCCUCACCCUACCACUCAAGAGAUCCUGGAAAACACGGUAAAAGGACACAAAAUAAGAUAGUUCCUUUGUGUGUUUGGACACAGACAACAAAUUGAACUUGAAAUAUGGCACUAACAUAACAUUUUCCACUGCUUGGUUCCCCAAAAAAAUCUGCUCUACCAAUGUGAGUUACUUACACCUUAUCUCCUGUAGGUAGGUGAACUUGGUCUUGCUGUGAUUUUGUUAGGAUUUGAACAUUUCUUAACAUGCAUCUACUAGAGGUUAUAUGGUGAGAAGCACCAGAAUCUACUAUCCAGUUUGGUGGAAAACCAGUACGGGACAUCAAACAAGUUGUGGUACCUGACAUGUUAACCUGCUUAGACUCUGUUGUAUCCUUGUACAGCAAGGUGAGGAUCUGUUUAUACUAUUUUUUAGUAAAGGGUUGUCCCUUUGCGAAGACAGUGUCAUUACCUUCAUGGUUUGUGGAUGAUUUGCUAGUUGAUGCUACAUGAGUGUGAUCACUAGAAAUGGUAUUAGCUUCAUAGUUACCUCCAAUACCUCCUCCAGGAUUACCAUAUCUAUUUUUUGUACCAUUACCUGAAGUGAUGUGAUUAUGCACGUUCUUAAAAGUGCCAAUUUUCUUCCUUUGCUUCCAAUCUACUGGAUACCCAAUCAGAUUAUAGCAAUUCUCUUUAGUGUGACUAGUGAAGUUGCAGAAUUCACAUUUCCUUCCUCUAUAGGAUUUUCUUUCUUGGUUUCUAUUUACAUUCAUGGCAAUUUGAUCUGGUUUCUCAACCAUAGUAGCUAUACAAGCUGAGUGCUGAAUCUCAUCCUCUAUUAUCAUGGCAUAUGCUUGGUUUAUGGUAGGAGCAGUCCCUUUUAACAAAAUCUGCCUUCGAGCUUGGUCAUAGGAUUCAUUCAAGCCACUGAGGAACUAGAUCAACCUCAUUUCUGAUAAAUGAUCCAUAUAUUCCUUCGACCUUAGACAAUUACAGCUAGGUGAAGGAACAACGGCAUCAUACUCAUUCCAUAAGGUUUUCAAUUUGGUGUAAUACUGAGAGAUAGAAUCAGUGCCUUGUGAUAAUGUGGUGAUUUCUCUGUGUAAUUGAUAUACUCGCAUUUGAUUUACCUUGUCAAAUCUUUCCUGCAGGUCAUUCCACACAUCAUAUGCACGGGUUGCAUACACAAUUCCACUAAAAAGAUCUUCACUUACAGUAUUGAUUAGCCAUGACAACACAAUAGAAUUUCACAUCUCCCAUUGCACGUGCAAUUCUUCACUGUAUGUCUCCUUUUUACAUGACCUGUAACGAAUCCAUACUUUCGUUUUCCCAUCAAGGCAAUCUUCAUCGACCUGCUCCAUAUGCCAUAGUUCUCAGGUCCAAUCAAUUUGAUUGGAAUAAGCACAGCUCCAGUAAUAGCUGAAGAGCCAAUGAACAGGGGAUCAUUUAGAUCUAUUUUUGGCGCCAUUUCUCAAUGUAAGGUUCUGCGAUUAGAUCACUUAGAAGAGAUCUCAACUCCCCUAUGAUCAAUCAGCUGAGUAGUGCUCAAUGUCAAUUGCAGAUGCGAAGAAGAAACACCCAGUCUUGGUGCUCUGAUACCAUGUUAAAAUACUUGCUAAGACUCCAUUGAUGGAGCUAAGAAGAGGAGAAGAAGAAUCAAAAAAUUAUAACUGUUUCUUAAA